rnacentral:rRNA from 1 species
UACAGAGGGUGCAAGCGUUAAUCGGAAUUACUGGGCGUAAAGCGCACGUAGGCGGUUUUUUAAGUCAGAUGUGAAAGCCCCGGGCUCAACCUGGGAAUUGCAUUUGAAACUGGAAAACUAGAGUGUGUGAGAGGGGGGUAGAAUUCCAAGUGUAGCGGUGAAAUGCGUUGAGAUUUGGAGGAAUACCAGUGGCGAAGGCGGCCCCCUGGCACAACACUGACGCUCAGGUGCGAAAGCGUGGGGAGCAAACAGG